AUACGGAUGGUGCGAGCGUUGUUCGGAAUUACUGGGCGUAAAGGGCGCGUAGGCGGCGAUGUAAGUCAAAUGUGAAAGUCCUCGGCUUAACCGGGGAAGUGCAUCUGAAACUGCAUUGCUUGAGUAUGGGAGAGGAAAGUGGAAUUCCCGGUGUAGAGGUGAAAUUCGUAGAGAUCUGGAGGAAUACCGGUGGCGAAGGCGACUUUCUGGACCAAUACUGACGCUGAGGCGCGAAAGCGUGGGGAGCAAACAGGAUUAGAAACCCUAGUAGUCC
rnacentral:rRNA from 1 species